rnacentral:rRNA from 1 species
CGGUGUUCAACUGGCGUGUCCGCGGGACGUCCUGCCGGUGGGCUUAGCCCGCAAGGGCGGCCCAACUUCAAAUCCCAUCGCGGUGCUCUUCACUGAGUGUCGAGGUGGGCCGGCACGUUUACUUUGAACAAAUUAGAGUGCUUAAAGCAGGCUAAAACUUCGCCUGAAUACUGUGUGCAUGGAAUAAUGGAAUAGGACCUCGGUUCUAUUUUGUUGGUUUUCGGAACCCCGAGGUAAUGAUUAAUAGGAACGGAUGGGGGCAUUCGUAUUGCGACGUUAGAGGUGAAAUUCUUGGAUCGUCGCAAGACGGACAGAAGCGAAAGCAUUUGCCAAAAACGCUUUCAUUGAUCAAGAACGAAAGUUAGAGGUUCGAAGGCGAUCAGAUACCGCCCUAGUUCUAACCAUAAACGAUGCCAGCUAGCGAUCCGUCGACGUUCCUCCGAUGACUCGACGGGCAGCUUCCGGGAAACCAAAGCUUUUGGGUUCCGGGGGAAGUAUGGUUGCAAAGCUGAAACUUAAAGGAAUUGACGGAAGGGCACCACCAGGAGUGGAGCCUUCGGCUUAAUUUGACUCAACACGGGAAACCUCACCAGGCCCGGACACCGGAAGGAUUGACAGAUUGAGAGCUCUUUCUUGAUUCGGUGGGUGGUGGUGCAUGGCCGUUCUUAGUUGGUGGAGCGAUUUGUCUGGUUAAUUCCGAUAACGAACGAGACUCUAGCCUGCUAACUAGGCGUAUUUUCGACAUCUCAAAGGUCCGUCGUCCCGGCCCUCGGGUCGUGGGCGUGCGCGAUUUUUACUGUCGGCGUACUAUCAAUUCUUCUUAGAGGGACAGGUGGCUUCUAGCCGCACGAGAUUGAGCAAUAACAGGUCUGUGAUG